rnacentral:rRNA from 1 species
UGGGGAAUCUUGCACAAUGGGGGAAACCCUGAUGCAGCGACGCCGCGUGAGCGAUGAAGCCCUUCGGGGCGUAAAGCUCUUUCGGCCCGAACGAUAAUGACGGUACGGGAAGAAGAAGCUGCGGCUAACUACGUGCCAGCAGCCGCGGUAAUACGUAGGCAGCAAGCGUUGUUCGGAGUUACUGGGCGUAAAGAGUGCGUAGGCGGUGUCGAAAGUUUGGCGUGAAAUCUCCCGGCUUAACUGGGAGGGUGCGCCGAAAACUGCGAUGCUGGAGUGUGGGAAAGGCAAGCGGAAUUCCUGGUGUAGCGGUGAAAUGCGUAGAUAUCAGGAGGAACACCGGCGGUGUAGACGGCUUGCUAGACCAUAACUGACGCUGAGGCACGAAAGCGUGGGUAGCAAACAG